AUUGAACGCUGGCGGCAGGCUUAACACAUGCAAGUCGAGCGGGGGAAGGUAGCUUGCUACCGGACCUAGCGGCGGACGGGUGAGUAAUGCUUAGGAAUCUGCCUAUUAGUGGGGGACAACAUCUCGAAAGGGAUGCUAAUACCGCAUACGUCCUACGGGAGAAAGCAGGGGAUCUUCGGACCUCGCGCUAAUAGAUGAGCCUAAGUCGGAUUAGGUAGUUGGAGGGGUAAAGGCCUACCAAGGCGACGAUCUGUAGCGGGUCUGAGAGGGUGGUCCGCCACACUGGGAGUGAGACACGGCCCAGACUCCGACGGGAGGCAGCAGUGGGGAAUAUUGGACAAUGGGGGGAACCCUGAUCCAGCCAUGCCGCGUGUGUGAAGAAGGCCUUAUGGUUGUAAAGCACUUUAAGCGAGGAGGAGGCUACUCUAGUUAAUACCUAGGGAUAGUGGACGUUACUCGCAGAAUAAGCACCGGCUAACUCUGUGCCAGCCGCCGCAGUAA
rnacentral:rRNA from 1 species